rnacentral:rRNA from 1 species
AUUGAACGCUGGCGGCAUGCUUUACACAUGCAAGUCGAACGGCAGCACGGGGGCAACCCUGGUGGCGAGUGGCGAACGGGUGAGUAAUGCAUCGGAACGUACCCAGUCGUGGGGGACAACGUAGCGAAAGUUACGCUAAUACCGCAUACGACCUGAGGGUGAAAGCAGGGGAUCGCAAGACCUUGCGCGAUUGGAGCGGCCGAUGUCAGAUUAGCUAGUUGGUGGGGUAAAGGCUCACCAAGGCGACGAUCUGUAGCGGGUCUGAGAGGAUGAUCCGCCACACUGGGACUGAGACACGGCCCAGACUCCUACGGGAGGCAGCAGUGGGGAAUAUUGGACAAUGGGGGCAACCCUGAUCCAGCAAUGCCGCGUGUGUGAAGAAGGCCUGCGGGUUGUAAAGCACUUUGGUGGGGGAAGAAGGCUUUUUGGCUAAUAUCCAAGAAGAUUGACACUACCCCAAGAACAAGCACCGGCUAACUCUGUGCCAGCCGCCGCAGUAAAAC